AUGUUGUGCACACACACGCACGCUUGCACCUGCAAGCUCACGUGGCGCCCAGGUAGGCCUGCAGCCAUGGCCACACAGGCACACAGAGGCAGGUGCCCAGGACACUUAGAAGGGGGUCUGGGCCUUCCCAUGCCCGCAUCCAGAGGUCCACAUGUGGCUGUGAACCCAGGCCUGUCCCUGUGUGGCCAUCCGUAUCCUCGGCAGCCCCCGUGCCAUGGCCAUCAGCCCCUAGCCACGGUACACAGCAUCAUGCUGGCGUCUCUUUGCCUUGACUUGGCUGGAUGGGCUGGUGGGGGCUGGCGGCUGGGACGCUGCCCUGCCCGCCCUCCUUCCCGCUGCUGUGCUCGCCGCCCGGCCCUCCUGCCUCCUGCUGGGCAGCAGGUGUGGUGCCCCUGCUGCCGCCGCCACCACUGCCUCUGCUUCCUCCGCUGCUGCCACCCCAACCCUGCAGGGCUCGCCUUUGUCCGGGGAACUGCGAGGGGCUGGGGGAAUGGGGCAGAAGGGGGGCUGAAAUUGGAGGCCAGAGAAAUGUGGAGGAGCUGGGGACAGAGGUCAGGGGCAGGUGGAGGGGGCGCCAUGGGGAAUGAGAGACGAGGGAGGGACGGGCAGCUGUGGCGGGCUCCCCUCUUAGGAUGGGGGUGGGCUAGGAAGGGGGCUUCUGGCGGGGAUGGCUGGGGACCCCAGUGUCUUGGGGCAAUGGGAGCUACGGUUGGUUCUGACCCCCGCCCCUCCCCUCUCCCUCCCUCCCCUGCCCAGAUCCCGGCAGCGGCUCCGCUGAAGGGCCCAGGCCCCUCUUCGUCCCCGUCACUACCUCACCAGGCCCCUCUGGGGGACAGCCCCCUGCCCUCCCCACACCCCGCCCGGCCCCCUUCCGCCCACCCUCCCGGCCCCAGAGUGUGUCCCGCCCUCCCUCAGAGCCAGCCCUGCACCCUUGUCCCCCACCCCAGGCCCCCCCAACUCUGCCUGGCAUCUUUGUCAUCCAAAACCAGCUGGGCGUUCCCCCACCUGCCAGCAACCCAUUUCUGCCCCAGGCCUCCCCAGCCCUCUCCGUCCCAUCCCAGCCAUGAGACCCCUUCCACUGCCUCCUCCGUCCCAUUCCAUCCAUUCCCUUCCGUCCACCCCCUGAUUCCUUCUCUCAGACCCUUCCACCACUUCCUUGGCUGCCUAAUUCCUGAGUAG
rnacentral:lncRNA from 1 species